GAUGAACGCUGGCGGCGUGCCUAAUACAUGCAAGUCGAGCGAACAGACGAGGAGCUUGCUCCUCUGACGUUAGCGGCGGACGGGUGAGUAACACGUGGUUAACCUACCAAUAAGACUGGGAUAACUUCGGGAAACCGGAGCUAAUACCGGAUAAUAUAUUGAACCGCAUGGUUCAAUAGUGAAAGACGGUUUUGCUGUCACUUAUAGAUGGAUCCGCGCCGCAUUAGCUAGUUGGUAAGGUAACGGCUUACCAAGGCAACGAUGCGUAGCCGACCUGAGAGGGUGAUCGGCCACACUGGAACUGAGACACGGUCCAGACUCCUACGGGAGGCAGCAGUAGGGAAUCUUCCGCAAUGGGCGAAAGCCUGACGGAGCAACGCCGCGUGAGUGAUGAAGGUCUUCGGAUCGUAAAACUCUGUUAUUAGGGAAGAACAAAUGUGUAAGUAACUAUGCACGUCUUGACGGUACCUAAUCAGAAAGCCACGGCUAACUACGUG
rnacentral:rRNA from 1 species